rnacentral:tRNA from 1 species
AUCUCGGUGCUGGGUGGCACCACGUCGUUGCUGCUGCUGGCGGUGUUCGCGGUGGUGAACGUCGCGGUUCUGGUGCUGCGGCGUGAUG